rnacentral:rRNA from 1 species
GUCGAGCUACAACGGCUGCCCCGU